rnacentral:lncRNA from 1 species
CACCACAUUAGCAUCAACACACUCUGCUUAUGAUUUAGGCAUCUGUACAGGGCACACAGGUCUCUAAAUGUUUUAGUCAAGGUUACUACCAUUAUGUCCUUAACAUAUUUGAAUAUAAGAAGGUAUUAUUAUGGAUUACUAUGAUGGAUUCUCUACUGUGGCUAAGAUUUUCUUAUAGAUUGUGGCCUAGCGACAUCAUCUGUUGCUCAGGCUUCUGAAACUUAGAAUAUUAAUACUUUAGUAGCACUGAACUUGGACUUAAAAUUUCCCCUCAUCCAUGUGAAAGUUUUGGGAUAGAAAGCAUUCUCUGCAAGUCUAAAACCUUCAGAGAUCAAAGGAACAGCACCCUUCAGGUUUAUCUCUUCCAUUAAGCAUUUUUACCUGGAAGAACAUAAAAAUACAGACUUUUCACAUACAUAGCUUUCUAGUGCCCCUCAUUUCUUUCUACCUAUUACUUUAAUCUGAUAAGAAAAUACGCAUGUACAUGGAUUGCUUAUAACAGUAAAAUUCACAUCAAAAUUAUGAGCCUCAAUUUUGAGAUAAUGUUUCAUCAAACACUCCAUGGUUCUAUUUAAACGUUUACUUCUGCAUUAUGUACAGACAAAGGUGUUCAAAAAUUUUUAAUAGAAUAUUAAGUAUGGUCCCCAGCUCCACUUUACAUAUCAAAACUUCCAACCCCCAAUUAUACCAUCCUAAGUAAUUUUAAACAGUUUCUACUAUAGAAUAUUUAAUGUGUUUUGGGGUAGUCUCUUCCUGCCAAAAACUUGAUGGUUAAAACGUCUGUGUAUGAUCUUUUGAAGGGAUUUCUAGACUUUUAAUAUCUUGAUUGCAAUCAUGUUUGAGAUCCAUUUAUGAUAAGCAAAAGUUUGAUUACAGUAUUUUGUGGGGCCAGAUUCUUGAAGGAAAAUGAAGACUAUUCAAGAUCAUAGUGAUUGCUUUAGGCUGUAUGUUAGACAUUUAAAAGUGAUAGAAAAUAGAGAAUAAUCCAAAAGUAGCUUUCAUUUUUGAGAAUAUUAAUUUCUAUAAUCUGGCUGUACAAAAGAAUCAACAAGGAGUAGUUUUCAAUAAUUCUGGUAUCUGGAUCAAAAAAUUGCUGAAAGAUAAUCUCUAGAAAUGUUUAAGAUUUUUUUUCCCCUGGAUGGUACUUAAUAUAGCCAUUCAGAUUUUUUUUUAAAUGACACCAAUUAAUAAUUUCAUGCUUAAAAGCACUUAAUUACACUUUGCAUCUCAUUUCUUACAUGUAAUGAGCUUGGACAUCAUCACACUAUCCUUACGUUAAAAAAAAAACUGGAAAAACUGAAAACUGAAAAUGAAUGAUUUCUCAGACACAUUAGAGAACUGAGGCCACAUAGCCCCAGAUCUAUAGAAACAAGUGUAUCCAGAGAGCUUGAACAGCUGCGAACUACUUACCGGGAAUAGCUGGUACUGGAGCCCUAAAGUGGUAGGAACACUUACCGGGUAAUCUUGAUGGAUUGGUGAACGUUGACUAGUGUGGACAUGAGAAGGUUCUCAGGAUCACAGUCUUGAAAGGCAGGUACCUCCGGGAAUCCCACCAAUUUCUCACGGUGAGGAUCCAAGAAAGAUAUUUUAUGACUCUGGAAAGGAAAAGGGAGGGGUAAUUAGCAUGUGAUAUGUUCAGAGCCUUCCCACCAUAAUAAAUAUGUACUCUCCAGGGGAAAGGACUUUUUAGGAGAACAUAGUUCUGAGCCUAAUCUCAGCCCCAUAGAGCCUCCUGUUUUAACUAAGAGGGAAGAAAACAGAGCCAACAGUGUUCUGGAACCCUGUAGCUAGAAAAGAAAUAGGUGGCAGAGGAAGAAAAAAAUACCACUGGAGAAACACUUGUGAAGGUCAUAGCUUUGAAAAACAGGUCACUACAAAAAUAGAUUUAGUUGAAAGAUUAGAGAAAUGAUUAAGAUAGUAUUUGAAGUAAUAACGGCUAAAUUUCCGAAACUAAUGAUAGACAUUAAACUACAUAACCAAGAAGCUCAGACAAUACCCAACAGAAUAAUAUGAAAACCAAUAUGAACAAUAACACUUCCCCAAAACGCUAUAGCUAAUAUUUAAUUCUCAAACCGUAGAGAUAAAUCUUAAGCCAAAGGAAAAAACAAUCUUACCCAUUGAUGAAUAAAGAUUACACUUCUCAUCAGAAGCCAUAAGAGAAUAGAAUGGAGUAAACAUUUAUGGAUUGAAAAAUGCCCCCAUCUAUUGAAACAGUCCUUCAGAAGUGAAAGAGAAAGAUUUUUCUCACACCCACAAAAACUGAAAGAAUUUAUUUCUACCCAGACUUGUCUUGCAAACCUUAAGAUGCUCUCAACAUAGAAAAGAAUAUGCCAGAAAUUUUUAUCAAUAUAAAGAGAAAGAAGGAGUAAGUGAAGGUACAAUAUUUUUUAUGAGUUGAUCUUAAAGGUACCUGCUUGCUUUAAUUCUAGUAACAGUAUUUAGGGUUGAUGUAUGUAAUAGAAAAACAAUGAGAGGAAAAACUCAAAAUUUUCUGUUUUAAGUAUAUGUACCACAUAUAAAUCAAUAUGAUAUUUGAAGGUAGACUUAGAAUAGUUAAAAAUGUGUAUUGAAAACUCUAGAGCAACUCUAAGCAGUGUAAUUGAUGUACUAGGAUACAAUCUUAGGCUCAACUAAAAUCAAAAAGGAAAGGGGGGGAAUGAAACAAGAAAUCCAACAAGUAGAAAACAGUUACGAAUAUGGUGUGUGUAUAUAUAUAUAUAUAUAUAUCUACAACUAUAGCAUUAAGGACUAAGUCAAUUAAAAGCAUUGACUAGAAAAAAAUGCCACCAAGUUCCAACUGUGUUGUGUAAAAAUAACUCUCUUUAAGUACGAAAAAAUAGAACAGCAAAGGGAUGGAGAAAACAUUAUGCUAAUAGUAAUCAAAAUAACUCAAUUAUCUAUAUUAAUGUCAGACAAAGCCCACUCAUGAAGAAGAAAGAUUAACAGGGUUAAAGAGGUACAUUAAAUAAUUAUAAAGGAUUCAGUCCUCUAAGAAAUAAAAACCCCAAAUGUCUAUGCAUAGGAAAAAACUGAUAGAUUUUUAAAAGAAAACAGGCAAAUACACUUAUUUUAGUUGGAGUCUUCAGCAUCUUUCAUUCAGGAAUUGACAGCUCAAACAAAAGCAAUAGAAUAUAGCGAUAUAAAUGUUUUAAGUGACAUUUAUAGAAUGCUCAAUCCAACAACAGGAAAAUAUACAAUAUUCACAUUAGUCUCAAGUUCAUAAGUAUUAAGAUUCACUACCUUGAGAUCCAUAAAACAUACUUGAACAAAUUUAAAAAUAGAAAUUCUCUAAAUUAUGUUCUCAGGACAAAAUGGAAAUUAACUAGAAAACGGAUAACUGAAAAAUCUCUAAUUGGGAAUUAACAUGAGUUCAAGCAAGUAUAAUAGAAAUUAAAAUAUUUUAAAGUAUGAAUGUAAAAAUACAAUGUGUAAAAAUCUGGGAUACAGCAAGAACAGUGGAUAUAAAGAAUUUUAUAGCAUGAAAUACAUUGGAAAAGAAGGUUGAUCUAAAUAAUAUAAGCUUUUCACCAUAGAAAAUUAGAGAAAUAUUUAAG